CCUCAUUGGUCCAGAUCCUGUCACAUGACCUGGUGGCCCAAUCAGAAGGAAUGGAGCUAUUAAUAGCCACCAGUGAUGGCACUCUGAUCUGCAUGGGAAGUGGGGAGGAGACCAAUGAGAAGAUGCUUUCAGACAACAUGUUUUCAAAGACGCAUGCACUGUCGUUGCCUGCUGAAACGAGAUCGGCAAAUGAUUUCCUGUUUGCAGAACUGAAGCUGGGUAUUUACAUAAAAGAUGAGAGCCGAACCAAAAAGAAGUCACCGGCGGCCAGUUUUACAUUCAUUUCACGCUCUUCGAUCCAGCAUUCAAAAGAACCGAUGUUAAGGUCUCCGCCUAUACAGUAAGGAUCUAUUUUGGUAGCAUGAUGCUUCACAAGGCAGUCUACUCAAACCCAGGUCCAUACACCGUGUUCGUCAGCUCCUAUCCACGGCCUAGCCAUGGGCACAUAACUCUUGUGCUUACCAAUAAAAAUGGGCAGAUAGCACAAGACAUGUUUCCUAUAAGGUUCAAUCAGAUAAUUCUAGAAGAUCUUCAGUGGUUGCUAAUGGCGCCCUUUGUAGCCAUGGUAAUCAUCCUCCUGGUAAAUCAUGGUUUUCCCGCCAAAGAUUUGAUACCCAUUACACUGCAGAGCAAAGACAGAUAACAGCUUUUGUGCUUAAAAAAUUAUUAAUAUUAUAUGUACAGUUCUUUUCAAACUUAACAAGAAAAAUCUUUAAAAAAGAUAUAAGGCGUUGAUUGUGGUUUGAGUUUGUGAAAGGUAAAGAGUUCAAAAAAUAAGACCAAGGAUAGGAAUGUCUUUUUCUGUGCAGUUCUUAGCUGGAUCACACGCAAUACGGGAUAUUACGCGGAGUUUUCGCGGCUUAUUUUACAUAUUACAUAUUGCUGGUCAUAAACCUAUAGAUACAAAACAGAAAACCAUAUGAAGAAUGGAAGUGAAAUUUAAACAUAUGAGUCAACCGGCCACACGCGAAGUAUCCGUACAUAUUUUAAAUAUUAUACGCGCGUUUGAACAAACCUGUUUUAGUGGUUUGUCGGGCAUUGCUUUUUGAUUUGAUUAUUAACAGUAUCGAGAAUCAUCGCGCUCAUGCUUAAUACAUUAGGCAAUAUGGUGGAAUAAUUCUUGUUA